rnacentral:rRNA from 1 species
UACGGGGGGGCAAGCGUUGUUCGGAAUUACUGGGCGUAAAGGGCGCGUAGGCGGUAGCACAAGUCAGUUGUGAAAUCUCCGGGCUUAACUCGGAAAGGUCAACUGAUACUGUGCGACUAGAGUGCAGAAGGGGCAACUGGAAUUCUCGGUGUAGCGGUGAAAUGCGUAGAUAUCGAGAGGAACACCUGCGGCGAAGGCGGGUUGCUGGGCUGACACUGACGCUGAGGAGCGAAAGCGUGGGGAGCGAACAGG